AUGGCCGGGAAGAAGCAAGCGGCAGUGAGCGCCGCGCCUUCCGAGGGCGAGGAGGGCGCCGUCGUCCCCAGCUCCACUGCCAAGCGCGGAGCCGGCAGACCUAAGAAGGACCCCGUCCCCGCCGCCGCCAGCCCCGGCUCCGCUGCCAAGCGCGGGCCUGGGAAGCCUAAGAAGGAUCCCGUCCCCGCCGCCGCUGCCAAGCGCGGGUCCGGGAGGCCUAAGAAGGGCGCCGCCCCCGCCGAGUCCGGCGAGGGCUCUGCUCCGGAGCCCGGGAAGAGCGAGAUGGGGGAGGGGGAGAAGGGGGCGACCCCGAAGAAGCAGGGGAAGGGGGAGAAGGAGAAGGCGGCGACCCCGAAGAAGAAGAAGGAGAAGGGGGAUAAGCCGGCGAACCUGGAGAAGAAGAAGAAGGGGGACGCGGCGGCGACCCCAAAGAAGAAGGAGAAGAAGGGCGGCGAGGCGGCGGAGCCCGGAUCCGGAUCUGGGAAGCAGGAGCCGUCAGGCGAAGCGGGGAAGCCCAAGCCCACGCCCAAGAAGACGAAGCAGCAGGCGUCAGACGGGGCGGCCAAGGAGACUCCCAGCAAGAGGAAGCGCGAUGACGCCGGGGAACCCCAACCCCAGAAGGCGGCCAAGAAAGCUGACAAGGCCACGCCCACCAAGAAGAAGCAGGCCUCCUCCGGCGGCGCUGAGAAGGCCACCACGCCCAGCAAGACACCCCAGAAGGAGGCAAAGAGCGCCAAGAAAAGCCCCGGCAAAGCGGAGAAGGCCACGCCCACCAAGAAGCAGCAGGCCUCCGGCGGGGCGGAGAAGGCCACGCCGAGCAAGAGGAAGCACGGCGAUCUGGAAUCCCCAAAUGCGGCGAAGAGCGGGCAGAAUGGCUCUUCGCCUGCGAAGAAGCAGAAGGGCAAGGCGGCAGGGGCGACGCCGGUGGCCGCCGAGCCGGGCACCUGCAGCUUCCCGAUGGCGCGGGUGCGGCUGCUGAUGCGGGACAAGGACGCCACCAUCCGAUCUAACAAUGAGGCCGUCUUCCUCGUCAACAAGGCCUCGGAGUUAUUCUUGGAAGUAUUUGCGAAGGAUGCUCAUCAGAAUGCCCUGAAGGAACGUAAAAAGUCAAUUACCUACGAGAACCUUUCAUCGGCGGUGUGCAACGAGAAACGGUACAAGUUUCUAUCAGAUUUCGUGCCGCUGAGGGUGACGGCCGGGGAUGCGCUCAAGGCUGUGGCGAAGGAGCCAUAG
rnacentral:rRNA from 1 species